GCUACGGGGUGCUGCAGUGAGGAAUAUUGGUCAAUGGGCUUACGCCUGAACCAGCCAAGUCGCGUGAGGGAAGACUGCCCUAUGGGUUGUAAACCUCUUUUGUCAAGGGACAAAAUCAGGCUCGAGAGCCUGACCGAGGGUACUUGAAGAAAAAGCAUCGGCUAACUCCGUGCCAGCAGCCGCGGUAAUACGGAGGAUGCGAGCGUUAUCCGGAUUUAUUGGGUUUAAAGGGUGCGUAGGCGGACUGUUAAGUCAGCGGUAAAAGCCCGGGGCUCAACCCCGGCGAGCCGUUGAAACUGGCUGUCUUGAGAUGUCGAGAGGUAUGCGGAAUGCGCAGUGUAGCGGUGAAAUGCUUAGAUAUUGCGCAGAACUCCGAUUGCGAAGGCAGCAUACCGGCGGCGAUCUGACGCUGAGGCACGAAAGCGUGGGUAUCGAACAGGAUUAGAUACCCCAGUAGUC
rnacentral:rRNA from 1 species